UUGAAACAGAGUCUCGUUCUGUCACCCAGGCUGGAGUGCAGUGGGGUGAGAUCUCAGCUCACUGCAACCUCCAUCUCCUGAGUUCAAGAGAUUCUCGUGCCUCAGCCUCCUGAGUAGCUGUAAUUACAGGCACCCACCACCACACCUGGCUAAUUUUUGUAUUUUUAUUAGAGAUGGGGUUUUGCCAUGUUGGCCAGGCUGGUCUUGAACUCCUGACCUCAAGUGAUCCUCCCAAAAUGCUAAGAUUACAGGUGUGAGCCCCUGCUUCUGGCCCUGGUUUUUCUCUUUCUUUCUUUUCUUUUCUUUUCUUUUUUUUUUUAAGAGACAGAGCCUCGCUCUGUUUCUCAGGCUGGAGUAGAGCCCUGAUUUUCGUGUUUGGUUUUCAACUGUUGUGUUCUCAAAUGGUCUGGGAAACUUCUGCAUAGACCUAGACCUUGAAGUGUCCUCCUCCCCCAACCUGUCCCUCUAGGGAGCUUAUGAUGGUUAAUUUUAGGGGUCAACUGAGCUGGAUUGAGGGAUGCCUAGAUGGCUGGUGAAGCAUUGUAUCUCGGUGUGUCUGGGAGGACUUGUGAGUCAGUGGCCUGAGAGAGGAAGACCGGUCCCUAGUGUGGGCAGAACACCAUCCCAUCGGCUGGGGGCCCAGCUGGAACAAAUGGGCAGAAGAAGGGGGAUUCACUCUCUCUCUGCUGUUCCUCUCUACCUUUUGGAGAGGAGUGCUUUUUCUCCUCCUGCUUUUGUACAUUGGCUCUUCUGCUUUUGAACUCUGGGACUCGCACUAGCGGCCUUUUGGGAGCUCUUGGGCCUGAGCUGGCUUCCCUGAACCUGGCUGGCUUCCCUAGUUCUGAGGCUCUGGAAGUUGGACUGAGCCACGCUCUGGUCUCCGGCUUGCAGACCACCUGUCAGAGGACCUCACCUCCGUGAGCCUGUGAGCCAGCUCCCCUAAUAAACCCCCUUUCUUAUAUCCUGCUGGUUCUGUCUUUCUGGAAAACGCUGAAAAAUAAAGAGCUCAAUCACAUUUUUGGGCCAAAAAGGGCAAAUCUCUCAUUUGGCUGUUAUUAGUCGUCUAUUGACUGCAUUGGGCUUCAGAGCACAAAUGCACUACAGCAGACUUGGCUGGUGGCCAGAUUCCUGGGGCCCUUCCCUCAGCUGUCCUGCCUGUCACCCACCAGCAGCGACAUCUCAUCCCCUAGAGGCUAAAUCCUGGGAAGGGAAGGCCCCUCUGGUUCUGCUCAGGACUGGAGGUGGGGAUUUGACACCUCGGAGAGUUCUCAACCACAGGCUGGAAGGAGUUGGUGUAUAAAUACCCCAGCUCUCUUCCUCCUAGCUCCGCAUGUUUUACAUUUUUCCCAAAAUUCCCCUGGAGGUUAUACUCCAGUUGCCUACCAUAGCUACCUCUCCAUCCCCAUCUUACUCAUCCACCACCUUCUGGCAUUGCUAUGACAAAAACCACAGACUGCACAACUUACAAACAACAGAAAUUUAUUCUCAUUGUUCUGGAAGCUGUGGAGUCCAAGAUCAAGGCCCCAGCAGUGUCUGGGGAGGGCUGCUUCCUGGUCCAUAGAUGGGGCUUCUCACUGUGUCCUCACAUGGUGGGAGGGAUGAGGGAUCUCUCUUGGGCCAUUUUUAUAAAGGUACUAUUGCCAUUCCUGAGGGCUGGGCUCCCAUGACCUAAUCACCUCCCAAAGGCCCUACCCCCUAAUACCACCAUCACACGUGAUCUUGGGAGGGACACACAUAUUUAGACUAUGUUAACUUUUCAGUGUGGGUGCCAAUCCCUGUCUGAGUCUGCUUCUGGAGAAAUCCCACAGACCCGGAGUGUCCCCAACACCAGGGGGUCCUCACUGUGGGUGGGGUGGGGGAGGGGCACAGGGUGUGGAACUGCCACUACAUAGCUCUUUGGCAGGGUGAGAUACCAGGGGCUGGCCAGGCCUGGCUUGUGGGAGAGAAGGCAGCUCCAGGGACAUGGGGAGAGGGUGGUGGGGUGGAGAAGGAUGGGCCCUGCUUUCUCCAGAACACUCUUCUGCCUCCCCUUAUCUGAGAUCCCUUGAGAGCGUUCCAAAGGAUGGCCACUUAUUCCCCAAGUCCUGAGGUCCUAGGUAAGCAGGCGGCCGCAGGGACCAGGCUCCUUUACCCCUUUCCCCCAAUCUGUGUCCUGGCUCCUGCCUCCCCACAAAACACAGCCUGGCCCGCAUGCCCCUCAGGGUCAAGUCAUACAGCUCAGCCCAGCUUGGGAGAACCACCUGCACCAGACCCUCACCUCCCACCACCACCUUUGACUCCAGCUAAGCUCCAGGCCACCACUCUGAACUCUGAGCUUUUGCACAUGCUGUUCCUCUCCCUUCCCUUCAUGGGUUGUGUGCCAUGUGCCCUUUUAUCUCAGGGUAAAUGCCUUCUGACCCCAACUCUGCUCUUCCUCCGUAACCCCCCAGUGUGCAUUUGUCACACUGUAUGGUUCUGGUUAGUGAAGCCCUCAGCCUGUGCGGGGCUGAGUGAGGAGGAAUCUGCAGGGGAGGGGCCGGCCAGCAGUAGGCAGCCAGGGCGCUGCAUCCCGGAGGCUGUGGUCCCUCCUUCGCAGGUGAGCUCUGAGCACCAGUGAAAGCCCCUCUUUGCCCGCUCUGCUCUGAGCUGAUUUCCAAACUUGGAAAAACGGAGACCUUAAGUUAAGAGACCUGAACGCUGGACACAUCCGUUGCCAGAAAGAGGCGCUAGGGAGUGAAUGAGCGUGACAUAAAGAGUCUCCCUGAAGACAGCCAUCUCCAGGGCCUGGGCCUCCAGCAGGUCUGGCCUUGGGCGGGAGGCUGUGCAGGCAGAAAACCUGCCUCUCGGUCUCCGAGUGGGCGAAUGCGCGCCACCGUGGCUGCACCAGGCUUGCUGGUGAUUUGGGAAGAGUUACGUGGCCCCUCUGAGCCUGGGUUUCCUCACUUGCAUGGCCUGAGGACCCCAGGCAGAGGAAGCAGGGCCCGGCUGGGCCAAGCUAGAUCCUGUCUGGGGGCUGCCGGGCUGGAAACAGCAGGAGCAGAGGGCAGCUUCCGUGGCACAGGAGGCGCGGAAAAGUGGCGCAAGGAGGUGGGGACGGAUGAGAAGAUUUUGAAAUGCGUGCCUGGUUUCCCCUAUAAGAGUCGAGUUGCAGAAUCUUAUUUUGAGAUACAGUCCCCUCCCACCCCUGGGGGACUAGGGGUACUAGGGAGCGUCGCAUUCUUCUCUCCUGAGUUCCGGAAUCCACCUCCGAGAGCGCAGUCUCCAGGCUUUCAGCAGCCAGGCAGGCGCUCGGCGAGAAGGGUUUCUGGAAUUCGAGCGAUGCGGCUUUGCUCACCAGGGAGCCAGCCCGGGACCCAGAACUUACACCCGGGACCCCGCGAGUACAGGACACCGGUGGGGACAGGAAUUAUCCCCCGCCCAGGAGGCACUGAGACCCUGCGGGAGGCGUGCGCGGCCCUAGGGGAGGGGAGGCAGCCGCCACUCGUGUCCGCGGAGAGUUGGGAGGCGGUCGGUUUUGAAAGGCGGCCAGGGGAGCUUUGUGCUGAACCGGGAGGGCCAGAUUUACUCCCUCGGGCCUUCCGGAGUCGCUGCCCGGGAACGCGUGCCUGCCCCCGCUGCGCCCAGACGCGCCUGUGCAGAGAACAGGUGUCCCGCGGGACCGAACGCACUGAGCGCGGAUUCUGGGAAUAUAUGCGCGUCCUGGCUCCGGGUAACAGAGCAGCGGAAAGCACCUGCCAGGGAAAGCAGGAAGGGACCGGUCCGCUGGGCGGCGGGGCAGGCGAGCCCGAGGGACGGAGGCCAGGAGGGAGGGGACGGCGGGAGAGACAGGGUUUUCGUUUGGCUUCACUUGCUGUUUAGGAUGAGGAAGCCUUAGGGGAGGGCCAGCGGCCAGGAGGAGGCCGCCGGGGCGCUGCGGCGACGGAGCCCCACUGUGUGCCUGCCCCUGCAGGGCCCCGGCCUGGCCUCCAGCACCACCUGCACUUACAGUAAUGAGCUUCUGGCAAAGGCAAUGGGAAAUCUAUCCCAUCCAGAAGAGCGACAAAGAAAUAUAAAAAGCUUAAGAAAAUCACUAAGGAAGGCACAGAACCUAUAGGAAGAAAACAUGGAAUGAUAUGGAGCAAUAUCUGGACAAAAGAAAGCAAUACCAGGUGCCGGACACAGAAGACAACCUAGCACCUAGUGCUCCCAGAGGUGUGAGGGCCCCAGGGACCCUCAUUUGCUGAUGGCGGAAAUGAAAAUCAUUACAACAAUCACCUUGGGAAGCAGCCUCUCAACUGCAAACACAAUUAAGAAGGCAAAUGGACAUUGACCCAGCAAUCCCUGACACAUUUUUUUAUAAUGGCAAAAGAAAAAAAUCAUAA